rnacentral:rRNA from 1 species
GAGUUUGAUCAUGGCUCAGGACGAACGCUGGCGGCGCGCUUAACACAUGCAAGUCGAACGUGAAGCCGGGGCUUGCCCCGGUGGAAAGUGGCGAACGGGUGCGUAACACGUGAGCAACCUGCCCCGAAGACUGGGAUAACACCGGGAAACCGGUGCUAAUACCGGAUACCCUCUUUUGAUCGCAUGGUCGGAUGAGGAAAUGGAUUCCGCUUCGGGAUGGGCUCGCGGCCUAUCAGCUUGUUGGUGAGGUAACGGCCCACCAAGGCGACGACGGGUAGCUGGUCUGAGAGGACGACCAGCCGCACUGGGACUGAGACACGGCCCAGACUCCUACGGGAGGCAGCAGUGGGGAAUCUUGCUCAAUGGGCGAAAGCCUGAAGCAGCGACGCCGCGUGCGGGAUGAAGGCCUUCGGUUGU